rnacentral:rRNA from 1 species
AGUGAACGCUGGCGGUAGGCCUAACACAUGCAAGUCGAACGGCAGCACAGUAAGAGCUUGCUCUUACGGGUGGCGAGUGGCGGACGGGUGAGGAAUACAUCGGAAUCUACUUUUUCGUGGGGGAUAACGUAGGGAAACUUACGCUAAUACCGCAUACGACCUACGGGUGAAAGCAGGGGAUCUUCGGACCUUGCGCGAUUGAAUGAGCCGAUGUCGGAUUAGCUAGUUGGCGGGGUAAAGGCCCACCAAGGCGACGAUCCGUAGCUGGUCUGAGAGGAUGAUCAGCCACACUGGAAAUGAGACACGGUCCAGACUCCUACGGGAGGCAGCAGUGGGGAAUAUUGGACAAUGGGCGCAAGCCUGAUCCAGCCAUACCGCGUGGGUGAAGAAGGCCUGCGGGUUGUAAAGCCCUUUUGUUGGGAAAGAAAAGCAGCAGGUUAAUACCCCGCUGUUCUGACGGUACCCAAAGAAUAAGCACCGGCUAACUUCGU